rnacentral:rRNA from 1 species
AUACGGAGGGUGCAAGCGUUAAUCGGAAUUACUGGGCGUAAAGCGUACGUAGGCGGUUAUUUAAGUCAGAUGUGAAAGCCCCGGGCUUAACUUGGGGACUGCAUUUGAAACUGGGUAACUAGAGUUUAGUAGAGGGGAGUGGAAUUUCAGGUGUAGCGGUGAAAUGCGUAGAGAUCUGAAGGAACACCAGUGGCGAAGGCGACUCCCUGGACUAAAACUGACGCUGAGGUACGAAAGCGUGGGUAGCAAACAGGAUUAGAAACCCCGGUAGUCC